rnacentral:rRNA from 1 species
GAUGAACGCUAGCGGCAGGCUUAACACAUGCAAGUCGAGGGGCAGCGCGUUGUAGCAAUACAUGGCGGCGACCGGCGCAAGGGUGCGUAACGCGUGAGCAAUCUGCCCGUAUCAGGGGGAUAAGCGAUGGAAACGUCGUCUAAUACCGCAUAACAACGAGGGAGGCAUCUUCCAUGUUUGAAAGAUUCGUCGGAUACGGAUGAGCUCGCGAGACAUUAGCUAGUCGGCGGGUAACGGCCCACCGAGGCUACGAUGUCUAGGGGAACUGAGAGUUGGUCCCCACACUGGAACUGAGACACGGUCCAGACUCCUACGGGAGGCAGCAGUGAGGAAUAUUGGACAAUGGCCGGAAGGCUGAUCCAGCCAUGCCGCGUGAAGGAAGAAGGUCCUAUGGAUUGUUAAACUUUUGUAUGGGAGCAAUAAGGGUGUCGUGACGCCCGAUGAGAGUACCAUACGAAUAAGCAUCGGCUAACUCCGUGCC